CAACCUUCAAGCGCGGCUUGUGUGUUGGGCCUCGUCCCCCGUGGACGGGCCUCAAAGGCAGUGGCGGCGUCCGUUUUGGUGCCCGAGCGUAUGGGAAUUCUAUACCGCUUCAAGGCCCGGCGGCGCUGGUCAAGACCAAUUUUUAUC
rnacentral:misc_RNA from 2 species